CUCUAGUGAAAAUUUUUACUAGGGAAGGCUUUCCUAGGGAGAUUCUAUCUGACUAGGGGACCCAGUUUACGGCAACUGUAACCCAACAGUUAUGGCAAAGUAGCAGCGUAAAAUCCCUGUUUAGCUCUCCCUACCACCCACAGACGAAAGGACUUUGUGAACGCUUUAAUGGCACGCUCAAGCAGAUGCUUAGGAUGUUCGCAGUCUCCUUUUGGCGGUGGGAAAGGUUUCUCCCUCAUCUCCUGUUUGCCUAACGUGAAGUAUCCCAGGUGUCUACAGGGCCCCUUCGAACUCCUUUACGGGAGAAAAGUACAGGGACCCCUUGAUCUCAUACGGGAGCACUGGGAGGGUAACACAGGAGAGGAAGGAAUACCUAUCAUGCCGUACGUUCUGGAAUUGAGGGAUCGCUUGCAGGCUCUCACCGAUUCUGUCACUCAAGGGCGGAGUGAACUUUAGUCCAAGUCUCACGAAUAGAAGUAAGGUGAUUAUCCUGGGCAGGAACAGCUGUGUCAGAG